AUGACUCCCCCAAAGAUCUUCCCACUGAACCUCCCAUAUUGCGAAUAUGGAGACCCUGUGGUCAUCGGCGUCCUGAUCAAGGAUUUCUUCCCCCCGGGACCUGUGGAUGUGAACUGGAGCAAGAGUGGGAACAUCACAAAUUUCCCCCCUUCCCUGCCUGAGGGGGGGGUCCUGUACAUCAUGACCAGCCGGCUGAGCCUGGAGGCUGACAAGUGUCCAAAGGACGAGAGUGUCACAUGCACUGUGGAACAUGCCACAAAUGCCCCCCAAAGUGUGGAUGUGCCAUGCAUAGGACCACCACCAUGCAAACCAAAGUGUUGUCACCAUGAGCCCAGCCUGUCACUGCAGCGGCCAUCCCUUGAAGAUCUGCUUCUGGGCUCAAACGCCAGCCUCACAUGCACACUCAGCGGCCUGAGGAGUAAUGAGGCAGCCAGCUUCACCUGGGAUCCCACAGGCGAGGAAACUCCCACCCAGAAGCCUGCUGAGUAUGACCACCACGGCUGCUUCCGCGCAUCCAGCGUGCUGCCUGUCUGUGCUGAAUCCUGGAACAGUGGGCAGACCUUCACCUGCACAGCCACCCACCCUGACUUCGAAGGCGUCCUGACUGCCACCAUCACAAAACCCCCAGGUAUCCGGCCCCAGGUCCAUCUGCUGCCGCCGCCGUCGGAGGAGCUGGCUCUGAAUGAGCUGGUGUCACUGACAUGUCUGGUGCGGGGCUUCAGCCCUAAGGACGUGCUGGUGCGCUGGCUACAUGGGAACGAAGAGCUGCCCCGUGACAGCUACCUGGUGUGGGAUCCCCUGGAGGAGCCCGAGGCGGGUACCACCACCUAUGCUGUGACCAGUGUGCUGCGCGUGACAGCCGCGGACUGGAAGCAGGGGCACAACUUCUCUUGCAUAGUGGGCCACGAGUCCCCACCUGUGCCCUGGACCCAGAAGACUAUCGACCACAACUCGGGUAAACCCACCCAUGUCAACGUAUCUGUGAUCAUGUCGGAGGCAGAUAGCACUUGCUAUUGA